rnacentral:rRNA from 1 species
GAUCCUGGCUCAGGACGAACGCUGGCGGCGCGCCUAACACAUGCAAGUCGAACGGAGACAGGGAGGAGCUUGCUCCACCCUGUCUGAGUGGCGGACGGGUGAGUAACGCGUGAGUAACCUGCCUUAAAGAGGGGGAUAACGUCUGGAAACGGACGCUAAUACCGCAUGACAUACGGAGUUGGCAUCAUAACCGUAUCAAAGGAGGAAUCCGCUUUAAGGUGGACUCGCGUCCAAUUAGCUGGUUGGUG